ACGCACGCUGGCGGCGUGCUUAACACAUGCCAGUCGUACGGUAAGGCCCUUUCGGGGGUACACGAGUGGCGAACGGGUGAGUAACACGUGAGUAACCUGCCCACAACUUUGGGAUAACGCUAGGAAACUGGUGCUAAUACUGGAUAUGUGCUCCUGCUGCAUGGUGGGGGUUGGAAAGCUCCGGCGGUUGUGGAUGGACUCGCGGCCUAUCAGCUUGUUGGUGGGGUAGUGGCCUACCAAGGCGGCGACGGGUAGCCGGCCUGAGAGGGUGACCGGCCACAUUGGGACUGAGAUACGGCCCAGACUCCUACGGGAGGCAGCAGUGGGGAAUAUUGCACAAUGGGCGCAAGCCUGAUGCAGCAACGCCGCGUGCGGGAUGACGGCCUUCGGGUUGGAAACCGCUUUCAGCAGGGACGAAGCUUUUUGUGACGGUACCUGCAGAAGAAGCACCGGCUAACUACGUG
rnacentral:rRNA from 1 species